rnacentral:rRNA from 1 species
CAGGCUUAACACAUGCAAGUCGAGGGGGUGCUCAUGACGGAGGAUUCGUCCAACGGAUUGAGUUACCUAGUGGCGGACGGGUGAGUAACGCGUGAGGAACCUGCCUUGGAGAGGGGAAUAACACUCCGAAAGGAGUGCUAAUACCGCAUGAUGCAGUUGGGUCGCAUGGCUCUGACUGCCAAAGAUUUAUUGCUCUGAGAUGGCCUCGCGUCUGAUUAGCUAGUAGGCGGGGUAACGGCCCACCUAGGCGACGAUCAGUAGCCGGACUGAGAGGUUGACCGGCCACAUUGGGACUGAGACACGGCCCAGACUCCUACGGGAGGCAGCAGUGGGGAAUAUUGGGCAAUGGGCGCAAGCCUGACCCAGCAACGCCGCGUGAAGGAAGAAGGCUUUCGGGUUGUAAACUUCUUUUGUCGGGGACGAAACAAAUGACGGUACCCGACGAAUAAGCCACGGCUAACUACGUGCCAGCAGCCGCGGUAAUACGUAGGGGGCAAGCGUUAUCCGGAUUUACUGGGUGUAAAGGGAGCGUAGACGGCGAAGCAAGUCUGAAGUGAAAGCCCGGGGCUUAACCCCGGGACUGCUUUGGAAACUGUUUUGCUAGAGUGCUGGAGAGGUAAGUGGAAUUCCUAGUGUAGCGGUGAAAUGCGUAGAUAUUAGGAGGAACACCAGUGGCGAAGGCGGCUUACUGGACAGUAACUGACGUUGAGGCUCGAAAGCGUGAGGAGCAAACAGGAUUAGAUACCCUGGUAGUCCACGCGGUAAACGAUGAAUGCUAGGUGUUGGGGAGCAAAGCUCUUCGGUGCCGUCGCAAACGCAAUAAGCAUUCCACCUGGGGAGUACGUUCGCAAGAAUGAAACUCAAAGGAAUUGACGGGGACCCGCACAAGCGGUGGAGCAUGUGGUUUAAUUCGAAGCAACGCGAAGAACCUUACCAAGUCUUGACAUCCUUCUGACCGGCGCGUAACGGCGCCUUCUCUUCGGAGCAGGAGUGACAGGUGGUGCAUGGUUGUCGUCAGCUCGUGUCGUGAGAUGUUGGGUUAAGUCCCGCAACGAGCGCAACCCUUAUCCUUAGUAGCCAGCAGUAAGAUGGGCACUCUAGGGAGACUGCCAGGGAUAACCUGGAGGAAGGUGGGGAUGACGUCAAAUCAUCAUGCCCCUUAUGAUUUGGGCUACACACGUGCUACAAUGGCGUAAACAAAGGGAAGCGAAGCCGCGAGGUGAAGCAAAUCCCAAAAAUAACGUCCCAGUUCGGAUUGUAGGCUGCAACUCGCCUGCAUGAAGCUGGAAUCGCUAGUAAUCGCGAAUCAGAAUGUCGCGGUGAAUACGUUCCCGGGUCUUGUACACACCGCCCGUCACACCAUGGGAGUCGAUAACGCCCGAAGUCAGUGACCCAACCGCAAGGAGGGAGCUGCCGAAGGCGGGAUUGAUAACUGGGGUGAAGUC